rnacentral:rRNA from 1 species
UGGGGAAUAUUGCACAAUGGGCGCAAGCCUGAUGCAGCCAUGCCGCGUAGUAUGAAGAAGGCCUUCGGGUUGUAAAGUACUUUCAGCGGGGAGGAAGGCGUUGUGGUUAAUAACCACAGCGAUUGACGUUACCCGCAGAAGAAGCACCGGCUAACUUCCGUGCCAGCAAGCCGCGGUAAUACGGAGGGUGCAAGCGUUAAUCGGAAUUACUGGGCGUAAAGCGCACGCAGGCGGUCUGUCAAGUCGGAUGUGAAAUCCCCGGGCUCAACCUGGGAACUGCAUUCGAAACUGGCAGGCUAGAGUCUUGUAGAGGGGGGUAGAAUUCCAGGUGUAGCGGUGAAAAUGCGUAGAGAUCUGGAGGAAUACCGGUGGCGAAAGGCGGCCCCCUGGACAAAGACUGACGCUCAGGUGCG